AUGAUGAAGGUCCUGAACCAAGUUCUGGGACAAAAAACAAGCAAACAAAAAAGAAAAUUGCCCAAGCUGCCAUGUCCUCAUUUCUUGUAUCUGCUCCUCCAAAACCAAGUACCCAGAAGGCAAGCAAAUCAGUGAGUGCCAUGCUCUGCAAGACUCCAGAAGAAGUAGUUGCAGAGAGGCAUAAAAACAAAACUUCUCAGUCCACCCUUGAGCACUGCACAAAGAAAGGGACACAAGCACAGCAAAUUGUUGACGACCAUGUAGCUGAUUUUCUGUAUGAGAACAAGAUUCCAUUGAAUGUCGUAAACUCAAGAAGUUGG
rnacentral:misc_RNA from 1 species